GGGGUCAUCGUUGGGUACGACGCGGGAGACUUUGGACCUACCGUGCGCCGGUUCGAUUCCGGAUGGCUCCACCA
rnacentral:tRNA from 1 species